GGUUUCUCUGUGUAAUCUUGGCUGUCCUGGGCUCACUCUGUAGACCAGGCUGGCCUCUAACUCAAAGAUUCACCUGUCUCUGCCUCCCAAGUGCUGGGAUUAAAGGCGAGCGCCACCAUCGCCCG
rnacentral:miRNA from 14 species